rnacentral:rRNA from 1 species
GAUAGCUCAACUAUAGGCUUCGGGGGAUACUGCCAGACUUGGAACCGGGAGAGGUAAGAGGUACUACAGGGGUAGGAGUGAAAAGUCUUGUAAUCCCUGUGGGACCACCUGUGGCGAAGGCGUCUUACCAGAACGGGUUCGACGGUGAGGGACGAAAGCUGGGGGCACGAACCGGAUUAGAUACCCGGGUAGUUCCCAGCCGUAACGAUGCUCGCUAGGUGUCAGGCAUGGCGCGACCGUGUCUGGUGCCGCAGGGAAGCCGUGAAGCGAGCCACCUGGGAAGUACGGCCGCAAGGCUGAAACUUAAAGGAAUUGGCGGGGGAGCACAACAACGGGGUUAGGAGCCUGCGGUUUAAUUGGACUCAACGCCGGACAACUCACCGGGGGCGACAGCAAUAAUGUAGGCCAAGCUGAAGACUUUGCCUGAAUCGCUGAGUAGAGGUGCAUGG